CCAAAACCACACAACAAUAAACGGUUUGGGUUGGUUUGUGGGUUUUUUUGUUACUUUACAGCCCCCUCUAUAAAUUCCCGCCCUCCCAGGAGUGGGUCUCUGCGGGCGGCGCUGAGGAACCUUCCUCCAGAUAAGCACAGAGAAUCCUACCCAAAUGGCUGGAAGCGUCUUUGAAACUCCAACAAGAUCUCUCUGGUGGGGCAAGAAGCUUAUUGAGAGUCACUCUGCAAGCAAAUCAGUGAGGUGGAAACUCGCAGCCUGGCGCUGUACUUAACCCGUGGCCAACAGACCACUUCCCUCCAGGAAAGUAGGUGUGGUGAAAGGAGGAAGUUACCAGCCAAGAAGCGAAGACCUGUCUUUAGUUAUACAACUAAAGCUUCUUCUUAAAAAGUGAGUUCUGCCAAUGGUGCGAAGGAAGCGGUCCAACAGUGAAACAUGCAAGAUGAACAGAAGGCUUUUACCUAUUGCAAAAGACAUUUGAGAAUCAGAGAUAAAAUGAGGUAAAGAAAUCAAGAGGGCCCUGCCUUUCUCCUCAGCAUAAAAAGAAGUAACAAUUUAUUUUAGCCUGAAGCUAGUUCAGCAGGUGGCCCACGGGGCCUGGCAGGCCCCCUCUAAAAAAAAAUUUUGAAUAAUCACCAUUUUAGCAUCAAUCAGACUGUCUGUUUAUAGUACGCGCGGUGGCAAACGUUCCCAGGAUGGGUACUGCCAGCGCUGGAAAUGCUGUCCACCCCCACCAUUCCAUCCUGAAAGGAGUUGUUCAAAUAAUCCCCGAUUUACAGAUUACUUCCAGCUCUUGAAUCCCGUUGACCCAUCUUU